ensembl:lncRNA
AGAGUUCAUUUCCUGGGUGGGGAAGAUCCCCCAGAGGAGGAAAUGGCAACCCACUUAAAUAUUCUUGCCUGGGAAAUCUCACAGACAGUGGAGCCUGGCAGGCUGCAGUCCACGGGGUCUCAAAGAGUUGGACACGACCGAAGUGAAGAUUCCACAUGCCGCAACUAAGAAAUCUUACAUGCUGCAAUGAAAAUAGAAGAUACCACGUGCCACGACUGAGACCUGUUGAAGCUUAAAUCUUGAGUGAAUGCUAUGUGUUGGUGGGAUUUAAACCACAACCCAGUGACGGGAUUCUAGGAAAAGUAGUUCCCAGACCUCCAGCCUCCCUCCUCUCCUGUGAGUCCAGAGGGGAGUAGAGUGGGUGAAGAAUCUGUCCGAAAUGCAGGAGACACAGGAGACACGGGUUUGAUCCCUGAGUUGGAAAGAUCCCUUGGAGGAGGAAAUGGCAACCCAUCCAGUAUUCUUGCCUGAAAAAUCCUGUGGACAGAGGAGCCUGGCAGGCUAUAGCCCAUGGAGUCUCAAAGACUUGGACACGACUAGGCGACUAAACACACACGCUCACGCUCACACUUCUGCCUCCAUCCUUUUUUCUUCCAGGAUUGUGUGCUGCUUGUAACAGUGAAAAAUCAUGGAA